AAUGAAAUCUGGGAGUUGUUCUACAUCGGUUUUGCUUAUGACCGAUGUAGAAAUGAGAGCCUAAUUUUCACUGAUCAACAACCCCCUCCCCCUUUCUUCAAAUCUCCAAACCCUCUUCCUCUUCGAUUCCAUCGCCACCUCCCUCUCCUCCUCCUCCGACCCCCGUUUCCCCAACUCCCUCCUCUCCUACGCCGCCGUCGCCGCCUCCCCCUCCGACUCCCUCGCCUUCCUCCGCCACAUCACCCAAACCCUCCCCUCCUUCUCCCCCGACCGCUCCACCUUCCACAUCCUCCUCUCCCACCAAUCCCACUCCCAAUCCCUCUCCCCCAUCCACCAAACCCUAAACCUCAUGCUCUCCUCCGGCCUCGCCCCCGACGCCGCCACCGCCGACAUCGCCAUCAGCGUCCUCUGCUCCGCCUCCUGCCUCGACCACGCCUCAGCUGGGGGAGCAAGGCCAUCAAGGUUUACAACAAGAUGAAGGAGCAAGGCGUGGGACCUGACCUCGUCACCUACAACACCUUGAUCUUCGCCCUGUCCAAGUCCGGGAGGGUUUCCGAGGGCAAGAAGCUUUUGCGUGUCAUGGCGGAGAAGGGCUUCUUCCCCGACAAGGUCACCUACACUUCGCUCAUGACGAGGUCACUUGUUAGCCUAAGAAUAUUGAAUGUGGAAACCAAUGAUAUCGAUGAGCAGAAGAGAAUCCUCUUGAAGUUCCGCCGAGAGAUAUAGCUGACAAGGGAGCACAGGUUGUUGUCCAGUACAUGGCUGAGCUUGUGGAGAAGAGGGAAAAGAAGGAUGUUAAAUCACAACCACUUAGGCUCAGAUAUGUUUCUUUUCGAAGUCUAACAAAAGAAAGCGUGGCGGGGUUGAUUAUGUGAAAACUUGAUUUCAUUCAAUGACACCAUUGCUGGAAAGCGACAGAUUCCAUGUGAAAAAUUGAACUAUUUCCGUAUAAAAGAGCUAAAAGAUGUGCUCACUCAGUUACAACUUUCAAAGCAGGGAAAGAAGCAGUUUCAGGCAAAAUUGAUUUUCACCCUUGAAAUUGUGUAAAGAAGAAAAAUCCAAAUAUCUAUUCAAAGAGAAGAAUCACGUUUUUGGAAGAAAAUACGUGCGUUAGCCUGAUGCAACGCGCAUCCAAACACCCACUGAGUUUUCUCAUCAUGUAACAUACAAUGUGGAUUAUUAUAUAUGGAUCUUGUAUGAUUAGACAUCAUACUUAGUGCUUAAUAAUACGAGUUUGCAACUCUUAAAAUGGAUGAAUACAGUCAAUUUAUGACAUGAAGUUUCAUUUCAUUGUUGUAAUAUCUUUGGUUUGGACUCCAUGUAUUGUUUCCUUUUUAAUCCUGAAUUUAGUAUGACGUCUUCGAGGUUUUGGAUGAUAUAUUGAUGUCAGUGCAUAUUAUUCGUUCUCUUAGAUGAACAAGGUAAAAUUGUAUACAUGCAUAGACACAUUACUCGGUAUUUGGGUAUUCUGUCAUAUCCAUCUGUUUUAUUUUCACAAUGUUUCUGUUUGAGCUGUCAUCAUGACUAUAUACUGGAAGUUUAGACUUUAGACAAUGUUCACAUAUGGAAAUGUGUGUAGAAUUUAAUAUUUGAAUUCUUAACUAAACUGAGCAUAGCUGCAAAUUUUUUCCAUUUGUCUAUCAACAUGUUGUUGAAAUUGUCAAUCAUAGUAAUUGUAAUGAUAAUUUAAAUGGAAUUCUUGAAAUAAGGGCAUGUUUUUUUCAUUUGCUCCAAUGUAAACUCUCCUUGUAGAUUGAUAAAUUUGAGUUGCUUUUUUUUCCCUGGGCAUGCAUUUGUAUCCCAAAUUUCUGUUAUUUCCCUCUUCUCUAACUUUUUAUGUUAGAAGCUGGCUUGCCAUGUUCUAUCUUUUCUGGAAAUGAAUGGACAUUUUGUGGGCAUAGUUCAUUGGAUCAUAAUGCAUUUAUUUAAGAAAUCUUUUACUGUAAUAACUUUAUGAGUUUUUCUAAAUUUGUCUUAAACAUAUUGAGUUGUUAUACAUUUUAUUUAAGGUAAGAAAAUUGUUCGAAAAAGGAACAAAUACUCAACCUAUGCAGGAUGAAUGGCUGAAUUUUUAUUUUUAUUUUUAUAAGGGGUGAAUUUUUAAUUUGAGUGUGAGCACAACAUGCAGCACACACAUAGACAAGAACAAGUUUUUUUUUAUCAAUAAAAAAUUACGUUUGCAGCGAUGUCUAAGAGCAUCAACAAUACUAUUAUCUUAUAUUUAAGUAAUCGUAUCUUAUAUUUUUUCUCAUUAAAGUUGAUUUAUCCAUUAAUAUAACAAAAUAUAUCUUAAAUUUAAUAAUAUAGUAAUCGUAUCUUAUAUUUAAGUAAUCGUAUCUUAUAUUAUUAAAAUUAAAAUGUAGUAAGUUAAUUAAAUGUGAUGUAAUAAUAUAAAUUCAAUAAGUUGUAGUAUGAAUGUUGUGGUACAUAUGGUGUGUAAAAUAAGAGAGAAAAAUUGGAGGCUGGCAAAUCCCUCUACACCCGAAGACCGAAGUGAACCAAACCCAUUCACAACCUUGCUGGCCUUCCCCGCCCCACCAACACCCAAAGUGGAAAAAAAGGAAAAUUGGGUUAGGUACUGGGUUGUGGUCAUUUGUCUUGGUGAACUUGUUGGGUUUUUUUGGCAAGCAUAGUAAGUUUUCUUACAUAUAAAAUUGAAAGACAGAUCCUCAAUUAGUAGGAACUUUUAACAUAUUUUAUAAUUUCUAAUAUCUUAAUUACUAUUUGCAAUACAGAGAUUUACCCUUCAAUAUAAAUAUAAAAUUGAAAGAUAUCAGUGAAAGAAGUUAUUAUAAUUAAAUUUUGUGGGAAAAGAACAGGUGGCCAAAUUAGUGGAUGAUACAUAUAGGAAAAUGCAGAUAUCUGGGGCCACUGAUCUAGCAUCCAAGGGGCAGGGUGCAUCAGAUAGCAGUAGUGUAAAAGUUAAAGGAGAAUUUGAUGUAAAAGUUAAAGGUGAAUUUGAUGAUUCCUUUCAACCAGAUGCAAAGAUUCGCUGUCUAUGUGGAAGUAGAUUGGAAAUAGAGGAUUUGGUCAAGGUUUACCAUUAAAGGAUUUGUUUGCUCUGUCAUAGAUUUUGGGUUUCAGUGGCACACCCUUUGCAUCCUGUGAAGUUGACUACAACCAGCAACCCAAUUGAUGGGUGAGUGAGUACCUGGUGUAAUUGGGUUUGGGUUCAUUUGUCUCUUUAUAAAUUGAAUGUCUUGUUAAUAUGUCUUGGAAUUUAGAUUUUUUUUUUCUUGUUGCCUUGUUUCCAUGUAAGAGAAUAAAAGUUCCUUCAUUCUGGCUUGAAUGCUAGCUUUUUUUUUUUGUGGGGUGCGUAGGGGAUUUUCUGGAUACAUUUUAAGCAUUUCCUUAACAGGAACUGAUGCUCGCAUUUUUGGUUUGAGUAAAUUUGAGGAAUGCAAUUGCUGUAUUGAAACAAUAUUUUUUAUUUAUUUCUUUGGUACCAUUUGUUUA